rnacentral:rRNA from 2 species
UAGCUUGCUACCUGACCUAGCGGCGGACGGGUGAGUAAUGCUUAGGAAUCUGCCUAUUAGUGGGGGACAACAUUCCGAAAGGAAUGCUAAUACCGCAUACGCCCUACGGGGGAAAGCAGGGGAUCUUCGGACCUUGCGCUAAUAGAUGAGCCUAAGUCAGAUUAGCUAGUUGGUGGGGUAAAGGCCUACCAAGGCGACGAUCUGUAGCGGGUCUGAGAGGAUGAUCCGCCACACUGGGACUGAGACACGGCCCAGACUCCUACGGGAGGCAGCAGUGGGGAAUAUUGGACAAUGGGCGAAAGCCUGAUCCAGCCAUGCCGCGUGUGUGAAGAAGGCCUUUUGGUUGUAAAGCACUUUAAGCGAGGAGGAGGCUACUUAGAUUAAUACUCUAGGAUAGUGGACGUUACUCGCAGAAUAAGCACCGGCUAACUCUGUGCCAGCAGCCGCGGUAAUACAGAGGGUGCGAGCGUUAAUCGGAUUUACUGGGCGUAAAGCGUGCGUAGGCGGCUUUUUAAGUCGGAUGUGAAAUCCCUGAGCUUAACUUAGGAAUUGCAUUCGAUACUGGGAAGCUAGAGUAUGGGAGAGGAUGGUAGAAUUCCAGGUGUAGCGGUGAAAUGCGUAGAGAUCUGGAGGAAUACCGAUGGCGAAGGCAGCCAUCUGGCCUAAUACUGACGCUGAGGUACGAAAGCAUGGGGAGCAAACAGGAUUAG